rnacentral:lncRNA from 1 species
CUUUGAACUGCACACUUUUCAAUUUUCAUACAAUUGUAUCUCUCAUGAUAAUUUUGCCUCCUUACCUCAUUGUAGAAGGUGAACCAGCCAACUGCUCGGGUUGUCUCUGGACAGAGAAAACAAGAGGAGCCAACACCUUGGGGUCCAAAAGUUGUGAUGGCCCAGGCUGAUAAACCAACAGCCAAUGAGACCAGCUUCUUGGGGUGUUCAACCAAGAUGACACACAUUGAGGACCACGAGCCGUGGUCCUCAACGAGCCGUUUGAACCAGCACCUGAGGUCACUGCGAGCAGUCAGCAGGUAUGUAAUUACUAGUGGAAAAAUUGUAUACCAACGGGAAAAGCCACAGCUUAAGAGACCCAUUUUGUUUUGAUGUGUUUAUUCUUUUAAAACAUUGAUAUGGUGUAAGUGUGCAGUUCUGACUAAUUUGCCUAUACUAUGUACAUUUUCAAAUUACUUACUGGGAACCAACAUGCUUUUAAAAACACUGAAUUGUCAUUUCAGCAGAGCCCGCCUGAGGACAAUGGCCAGCUUGAAGAUCCUCAUGUAACACUUGGCAAUCAGAAGGCACCCUGUGAUUUUGCACCUGCCGGAGCUGCUACAUCAAGUCAUGUGACUUAUGACAACCCUGGGUGUCUUCAAGGAUCGUUUGACCAGAGCAGCCACAUAUUCGGGGAAAAUGCAGGUAAGCAGUGUGCUACAAAUGGCAUAGCGGCGAUUAUGACCCACACCACCCAUAGCGUUCUCAAAUGGAAAAAAAAGAACAUUCAUCAUAUUCUAAAACUAGGCAAUGGCUUAGUGUGUGUACACAUCUAUGCUAGAAAAUAAGGAAAUCAGUUCA